GAGCUGUUCUUCACACCAACUGAAUCUACAACGACCAUGACUUUGAUUGUCAGCAUUGUGUGGAUCCUGACUCUGUUCAUUCAGGAGUCCAGAGGGCAGUACACUGUGACUCAGACUCCUGCAGUGGAAGCUGUUCUCCCAGGACAGACAGUCUCUCUGCAGUGUAAAACCAGCAGUGGUGUCGGUACUUGUGGAGGUCAUCCUUGUCUAGCCUGGUACCUCCAGAAACCAGGAGAAGCUCCUAAACUCCUCAUUUACAGGGCUACAACACUUCAGUCUGGGACUCCAUCUAGAUUCAGUGGUAGUGGAUCUGGGAGUGACUUCACUCUGACUGAUCAGUGGAGUCCUGACUGAAGAUGCAGGAGAUUACUACUGUCAGAGUGGACACAGUGGUCCAGUGUUCACACAGUGAUACAGAGCCGUACAAAAACCUCCCUCAGUCAGACUGCACAGUGACUGCACUGCUACAGCUGGGACCUACUGCAGGUGCUGGGGGGGGGGAGAGACAGUGACAUGGAACACUGGUCAGUAGAUGAGGUCACAAUGAAACAUCAAAUAUCACAUACCGAACACACCCUCUGUCUCUCCUUGAAAACCAUGAUGAUGAUGAUGAUCAUUCCAGUUAUAGUAGUGAUAGUCAUCAUAAUCAAUAUGAUCUGAAUCCUUAGACUACUUUUCCAUGAUUGAGAUUAUACAUAACAGUUGAUCUUUACUGAUCUGUAAUCUAGAUAGGUCCUUCUUAAUUUAGUAUCCAGCUGAGAGUGGUAAAUAUUUACAAAUAUAGUAAAUGCAUACUUUCUAAAUUCAGAUAAAGGAAUAUAAACAAUUUGCCUUGUCUGUAAAAGACACAGCUCUAGACUCUAGAAAAAAACUGAUGUUUGUUAAAGUAAAGAACGCUCCUUAUCAGCACCUCAUGCUUUUAUUGUUAAGCUAGUUUCCUAAUCCUGAGAGGACCUCUGGUGGGGAACAUGAACUAUUACGCCUUUGCGAUGGCAACCCCGGCCUAGACUGUAGAAUUAGCUUCAGUUGGCCAUGACAUCAUAUCCAUCUCUAGUGUCUUCCAGGGAUCCUUAAAAACAUAUUUAUUUUCCCUGUAGCUUUGAAUUAAUUGCAUUAUAUGUUUUACUGUGUACAUUUGUCUUAUAUUGUCCUUGUCUGUUUCAAAUGCUUGUUGUAUUCUGAGCUGUGUACAUUUUUCCUAUAUUGUCCUUGUCUGUUUCAAAUGCUUGUUGUAUUCUGAGCUGUAUCAUGUACCGUAUUUCUUCAUUACACAAUUAUCACUGUUGGUGCGGCGUUUAUUCGAGGGCGGGUUUAAUUAGUAAGAUAGUUCGAGAAUUGCAGCUACAGUGCGGCCAUAGACAAAUAUAAAUAUAUAUAUAAACAAUAUACAAGGAGUUCAAACAGUAGCCUAUAAAAUUGAAGCCGCGCAUAUGUCUACAUUGUGUUGAAAUCAGCAGCAGAAGCAGUAGCCUAUGCCGAAACGUUCUUACACUUCAGCUUUCAAAUAGAAAGUUGUGCAGAAAGCACUCACCAGCAGCAACAGAUCUAGCACGCGAACUUUGGGUUGAUGAAAGGCGAAUUCGCCAGUGGUGAAGUCAGCUACAUCGUAGACUACAUGUAGCCUAAUUAUCGGAAUAACAUUAUUAUAAUGUGGAAUUUGUUUUCAACCAAUGUCAUAAUUUAGAAUAAUUGCAUUCAGUGUAUUAUUAAGUGACUUUAUUUGGUAAGAGUACAGUGCCUUUAUUUUGAAGGCCUUUUGCAACGCUUAUAAGUGAGAGCUUCGACAAGCUAACAGCAAGCGAAGCACGGACAAUUGAAUGCUCCGAUAAAAGUUUAUUAUCUUGUUAUCGGAUGUUAACAUCUAAGGAAACCUCUUCUCUUGUGUACAGCAUGCAGCCAAUGAGGUAUGUUGUUUUGUGUCUGUAUUUUACUUUGGUGAACGUUAUGAUGCGCAUGUCAUUGUAUCAUAUGCUAAAUGUGGUUUAUAUAACGAGAAAAUAACUGUGUGUGGGUUAGUUUUCAGGUGGAUUUGGAGAAGAAGCUUCAAACCUGUAGCAAGAAAGCCACUUGUGUCUGUGCGUCGAGGAAAUUAUAAUACAGCUGUGAUUUCGGCUACUUGUAAUAAAUACUGUUUUAAUUUAACCAAUUAAAUA